AGUGAACGCUGGCGGCGUGCUUAACGCAUGCAAGUCGAACGAGAACGGAAUGUAGCUUGCUAUAUUUGUCAGCUAAGUGGCGCACGGGUGAGUAAUGUAUAGAUAACCUGCCCUUAAGAAAGGAAUAACAGUUGGAAACGACUGCUAAUGCCCUAUAUGCCUUUAAUACAUAAGUAUGCAAGGGAAACGCUUUAGUGCUUAAGGAUGGGUCUGUAUGGUAUCAGCUUGUUGGUGAGGUAAUGGCUCACCAAGGCUAUGACGCCUAACUGGUUUGAGAGGAUGAUCAGUCACACUGGAACUGAGACACGGUCCAGACUCCUACGGGAGGCAGCAGUGGGGAAUAUUGCACAAUGGACGAAAGUCUGAUGCAGCAACGCCGCGUGGAGGAUGACACAUUUCGGUGCGUAAACUCCUUUUAUAUAGGAGGAUAAUGACGGUACUAUAUGAAUAAGCACCGGCUAACUCCGUGCCAGCCGCCGCAGUAA
rnacentral:rRNA from 1 species